UACGAAGGGGGGCUAGCGUUGCUCGGAAUUACUGGGCGUAAAGGGCGCGUAGGCGGAUAUUUAAGUUAGAGGUGAAAGCCCAGGGCUCAACCCUGGAAUAGCCUUUAAUACUGGAUAUCUUGAGUUCGGGAGAGGUGAGUGGAAUGCCGAGUGUAGAGGUGAAAUUCGUAGAUAUUCGGCGGAACACCAGUGGCGAAGGCGACUCACUGGCCCGAUACUGACGCUGAUGCGCGAAAGCGUGGGGAGCAACAGGG
rnacentral:rRNA from 1 species